UACGUAGGGCGCAAGCGUUGUCCGGAAUUAUUGGGCGUAAAGAGCUCGUAGGCGGUUUGUCGCGUCUGCUGUGAAAACUCGGGGCUUAACUCCGGGCCUGCAGUGGGUACGGGCAGACUAGAGUGUGGUAGGGGAGACUGGAAUUCCUGGUGUAGCGGUGAAAUGCGCAGAUAUCAGGAGGAACACCGAUGGCGAAGGCAGGUCUCUGGGCCACUACUGACGCUGAGAAGCGAAAGCAUGGGGAGCGAACAGG
rnacentral:rRNA from 1 species